CCUACGGGGGGCAGCAGUAGGGAAUAUUGCUCAAUGGGGGAAACCCUGAAGCAGCAACGCCGCGUGGAGGAUGAAGGUUUUCGGAUUGUAAACUCCUUUUGUUAGAGAAGAUAAUGACGGUAUCUAACGAAUAAGCACCGGCUAACUCCGUGCCAGCAGCCGCGGUAAUACGGAGGGUGCAAGCGUUACUCGGAAUCACUGGGCGGAAAGAGCGCGUAGGCGGGAUAGCAAGUCAGAUGUUAAAUCCUAUGGCUUAACCAUAGAACUGCAUUUGAAACUGUUAUUCUAGAGUAUGGGAGAGGUAGGUGGAAUUCUUGGUGUAGGGGUAAAAUCCGUAGAGAUCAAGAGGAAUACUCAUUGCGAAGGCGACCUGCUAGAACAUAACUGACGCUGAUGCGCGAAAGCGUGGGGAGCAAACAGGAUUAGAUACCCCAGUAGUC
rnacentral:rRNA from 1 species